rnacentral:lncRNA from 1 species
ACCCCCCCUCUUCACCCAAUAUUCACCAUCGUCCCAGAGCCCCCUCCUCUCAAACCCUAGCGCCGCCCCCUUUCCCCUCACCAUAAACCCGGCGGCAAGGAUGCCGGCGACCACCACCUUAACACCCUAGGACCACCUCAACCCCCUGAACACAGAUCCACUAACCGUGGGUCUCGAAUCCCCCCCCACCAUCUCGAAUCUUCAUUUGAAGAUUCGAGUCGGACCUCGACCUAUACCAAACCAACCCAAAUCCACACUAGACACUCCCCUGACCUCCCUCGUGACCAAACCAGGCUUGGUUUGGUCAGAAUCUACCCACAAAUCCCAAAACCCCAAAUCUGAAGAAUCGAACCCUAGAACACAAGAAUUUGUGGGGACUGUUUGGAUAUAAACGGAAGUUUGGGGUCUAGUAGAUCCUAAUCGAAGUGUUCUCGUUCGAGAACACCUCAGUUAGGAUUUGUCCGACCUCAAAUGGGAAAAUCAAGCUCGGGCCUGGGUCAUCCGUGUUAAAACUUUUCCGGUUUGUUCACUUCUCCCUUUUGUUAUCUAUUUUAGUCUAGAUUAGUUUUUCUGCAUUUUUAUUUAGUUUGUUUGUUUAUUUUGGGUUUUCUGUUGUCAGUUGUUCUUCAUCUCAAUAAAACCUUCUAUUUGGUUGAUUUGUUCAUUCUGUUGUGAUGAAUCUGUAUAGUAGUAUACAUAUUUCAAUAUGAUUAACAUCGUCGAAUCAAUAAUGCCUGGUUUUUCCCUGUAUCGUGCAAAUUUGUCAAGAAUAGUUCAUGCCCUAUUUGUAUUAUCUGUUUAAUCGACUGAUUGUUAGACGUUAUAAUUAAUAUAGUCGAUUAGAUAAACGUCGUCGAUUAGUUUCAUAGGACUGGAUGUUCAAAUGUCCUGAUUCUUGAUAACUUCAUAUGAUUUGAUCGAACCAUUGUCGAUUAGCUGGUUGUUUGAAAACUAUCUGUGAAUGGUUUGUUAGCUAUAAUACAAUAGUUGGAAUUCAGUUAGGAUAGUUGUUGAAUUUGAACUCCCAUAAGUUCAGAAUUUCACUUUUGUUGAAGUAGGGAUAAAACAGAAAUGGUCAGGGGUUUUAAAGGUUUGGUUUGGGGUUAUAAAAUUCUGAAAUGCUUAAAGGAAAGAUGAGCUGACAAUAAGGUACUAAAACAUUGAUCCAACUAAUGGAAUUAAUUGACCAAUAGUGGAAUUAAUGACAUAUUGAGUGCCUUUAAUGGCUGGAAAUCAGAAAAGCAUGGCAAUUUGUAGUUCUUUAAUGAAUUAGGGUCAAUUGGACAGCAUGUGCUGUCAGGAUACAUUCCUGCUGCCCAUGUUUGGCUUAGUUUAAUAAAAUGAUAAGGCAUUUUAAUAAUGAAAAUAGUUUUGUCAGGGGAAUCUCAUGGGAAGGGUUUUAUUUUAUCUUUGAGUGGAAAAACAGCAGGAGAACAUGGGAGGGGGUUUGAAUGGUCUAACAGGCUGUUUUGAAUGGGCUGAUGCUAGGAUAAAUAGAGGAGAACACAAGCAAAAAAAAAGGACAGUUGAAAAAAAAAGGAGAGGUCAGUGAGUAUUGAAAGCAUAAGCUGAAAAAUUAUUGAGUGUUCAGAGAAGAACAAAACUGUUUAGUUCUAAAGGGUUGGUAUGUUACUAUCUCGUUAGGGUAUUCUGAUUUCCCUGUGAGAGUACUACUGUAAUCUAGGCUUCUGUAUGCUGUUGAUUGAGUUUGGUUUUAUUGCUAUUGAACCUAUUGUUGGUUGUUCGUCGAGUUUGUUGUGAUUAUUGAACUGUUGUCACUAUUGCAUUGGAUAUUCUGGGUUUUUCUGUUGGUUUACUACUCUGUUCUGGGAUUGGUGGUUGAUUGCUCGACCACCUGUGGGUUUGUCAUUGUCGUGGAACUGCUGUUGCUGUUUAUUGCUGCCGUAUCACUAUUGUAUUACUGCUGUCUGGUUGCAUGCUGCUGAUAUUAUUCUUCUUCUCAUUCUUAUUGUCCAACAUCCAGGUACACAUUCUAAUUUCACUGGUGUAAUGAUGAAUUUGGAGCAUGAAUAAGAGCAUAAGAAGAAUUGCAGUCUAAACUCAGCAUAGUUUUUUUUUUUGCUGUUUGUGGUUUAGAAUAUCUCUGUAUACUUGACAUGUAAAGUUUGGCUUUCAAGCUGUGUAAUGAAACAGUUUUCAGUCCAUAAGAGUUUGGCCCGG